AGUGAACGCUGGCGGUAGGCCUAACACAUGCAAGUCGAACGGCAGCACAGUAAGAGCUUGCUCUUACGGGUGGCGAGUGGCGGACGGGUGAGGAAUACAUCGGAAUCUACUUUUUCGUGGGGGAUAACGUAGGGAAACUUACGCUAAUACCGCAUACGACCUACGGGUGAAAGCAGGGGAUCUUCGGACCUUGCGCGAUUGAAUGAGCCGAUGUCGGAUUAGCUAGUUGGCGGGGUAAAGGCCCACCAAGGCGACGAUCCGUAGCUGGUCUGAGAGGAUGAUCAGCCACACUGGAACGGAGACACGGUCCAGACUCCUACGGGAGGCAGCAGUGGGGAAUAUUGGACAAUGGGCGCAAGCCUGAUCCAGCCAUACCGCGUGGGUGAAGAAGGCCUUCGGGUUGUAAAGCCCUUUUGUUGGGAAAGAAAAGCAGCAGGUUAAUACCCCGCUGUUCUGACGGUACCCAAAGAAUAAGCACCGGCUAACUUCGUGC
rnacentral:rRNA from 1 species